rnacentral:rRNA from 1 species
AGAGUUUGAUUCUGGCUCAGAACGAACGCUGGCGGCGUGGAUAAGACAUGCAAGUCGAACGGGAUAUCACUUGUAGCAAUACAAGCGGUGUCUAGUGGCGCAAGGGUGCAUAACACGUGGGCAAUCUACCAGGAAGUGGGGGAUAGCUCGCCGAAAGGCGAAUUAAUACCGCAUGUGGCCAGGGAAGACAUCUUUCCGACGCCAAAGCCGGGGCAACCUGGCGCUUCUUGAUGAGCCCGCGGCCUAUCAGCUAGUUGGUGAGGUAACGGCUCACCAAGGCUAUGACGGGUAGCUGGUCUGAGAGGACGACCAGCCACACUGGAACUGAGACACGGUCCAGACACCUACGGGUGGCAGCAGUCGAGAAUUUUUCUCAAUGGGCGAAAGCCUGAAGGAGCGACGCCGCGUGGAGGAUGAAGGUCUUCGGAUUGUAAACUCCUGUCAUUAGGGAACAAAACUUACGGUUAACUGCCGUGGAGUCUGAUAGUACCUGAAGAGGAAGAGACGGCUAACUCUGUGCCAGCAGCCGCGGUAAUACAGAGGUCUCAAGCGUUGUUCGGAUUCAUUGGGCGUAAAGGGUGCGUAGGCGGCGGGGUAAGUCGGAUGUGAAAUCCCGGGGCUCAACCCCGGAACUGCAUUCGAUACUACUCUGCUAGAGUACUGGAGAGGAGACUGGAAUUUACGGUGUAGCAGUGAAAUGCGUAGAUAUCGUAAGGAAGACCAGUGGCGAAGGCGAGUCUCUGGACAGUUACUGACGCUGAGGCACGAAGGCCAGGGGAGCAAACGGGAUUAGAUACCCCGGUAGUCCUGGCAGUAAACGGUGCACGUUUGGUGUGGGAGGAUUCGACCCCUUCCGUGCCGGAGCUAACGCGUUAAACGUGCCGCCUGGGGAGUACGGUCGCAAGAUUAAAACUCAAAGAAAUUGACGGGGGCCCGCACAAGCGGUGGAGUAUGUGGCUUAAUUCGAUCCACGCGAAGAACCUUACCUAGCCUUGACAUGCAUCUCUAAGUCGGUGAAAGCCGGCGAGUGUAGCAAUACACAAUUUGCACAGGUGCUGCAUGGCUGUCGUCAGCUCGUGUCGUGAGAUGUUGGGUUAAGUCCCGCAACGAGCGCAACCCCUGUGAACUGUUGCCACUCCCUUUACUGGGAAGCACUCUGUUCAGACUGCCCUGUGAAACGGGGAGGAAGGUGGGGAUGACGUCAAGUCAGCAUGGCCCUUACGGCUAGGGCUGCACACGU